GCUGGCAGCUGCAGCUCCCGUUUGACCCCUAGCCUGGGAACACCCAUAUGCUGCAGGUGCAGCCCUAAAAAGCAAAAUACAUACAUACAUACAUGCAUACAUACAUACAUAAGAGGGAAAAAGCAUUGCUUAUGUUUGCCUAGAUGAGGUAAAAAGGCUGAACUAGAAUAUUACAGAGAUUGAGGAUAGUUAUGUCUUCCAGAGAACUGGCCCCAGAUCUCAACAUGUAAUACAAGGUAGACCUGGAGUUAAAUUCUGAGAUGACCUGGGUUUGCUAAACUCAAGCGUUAAUCUUGUGAUUUAGAAAAUUCGAUCAAAGUAGCUUUUGUUCUUCUCGACUAGGGAAUUUUCUUUAUUAAAGUUCUUUUGAAAAUGUUACCUGGAAUUUUAUACAUUUCCCUUUUCUGAUCCUUCUUUGAGUGUCAUGUAUCUUUUCCAUGUUACUCACAAUAAAUUGGGUAGGUGCCUCCAUGCAAGAAAAAGGAUGUUUUCUACUGUGUUUGCAGUACCUCUGUGUGGAAGCCUGUUUUUGCUGAAAUCUUUUUAUUAUUCCAGCUCACUGUAAUGAAAUCUAUAAAGGAUUCCCAUUUAAAAGAAAGGAAGGGAGUUCCCGUAGUGGCUCAGUGGCUAAUGAAUCCAACGAGGAACCAUGAGGUUGCGGGUUCGAUCCCUGGCCUUGCCCAGUGGGUUAAGGAUCCGGCGUUGCCGUGAGCUGUGGUGUAGGUCACAAAGGUGGCUCAGAUAUGGUGUUGCUGUGGCUGUGGCGUAGACCAGCGGCUGCAGCUCCGAUUAGACCCCUAGCCUGGGAACCUCCAUAUGCCGCAGGAGCGGCCCUAGAAAAGGCAAAAAGACAAAUAAAUAAAUAAACAAAUAAAAGGAAGAUAAAAGGAACAAUACAUAAAUGUAAACCAAUUCAGAACUCUCAAAUUAUUUUUAAAAUUUUUACAUAUGCAUCAAUAAAACAUACUUGCAUAAAGUUUUAAUGGGAAAUAUUUAUCAAUCCCCUUUUCAAAAAUAUAAGUGCACAAGUGUUGGUAGCUAAAAAAGAUGAAAUUUGUUGAAUCUCUGGACUUAUGAAAAUACUUAUUUUUGGGAGCUAUUAUAUAAGUGCACAAGUGUUGGUAGCUAAAAAAGAUGAAAUUUGUUGAAUCUCUGGACUUAUGAAAAUACUUAUUUUUGGGGGCUAUGUGUCCUCUUUGACACAAAUAUAUCUGAUAUUCUCAAUGAAAUUGCUUACAAAAUAGGACUAAAUCUGCCCGAAUUUUAUGUUAGACAUCCUCAAUGAAUGUAGCAAGGAAGAAGAGCUGGAAGUGGAACCUAAAGGAUACUGUCUUGGUACCUUUUCAGUAAGCUUUCAUCAGAUUUUAGAGGGUAGAGAUUUAUUAUACUCUUCAAAUAGGAUUCAUUUACCCUGAUUCAUCUUUCCUCGUUAUACACAGUUAAGCACAGAAAAAAAUUAACAAACUCUUAAUGCCUACUAAUGAUUUGUUUUCAUAUUUGAUUCUUGCUAUUUAUUCUUAGGCCCUCCCAAGUGGAAAUGUUGAAAAUACCAUUCCUUGGCGCUCCCUGGUUGGCUUAGUGGGUUAAGGAUCAGGUGUUGUCGCUUUGUCACUGCUGCGGUUCGGGUCAGUAUUUUGUGUUAUCUCGUAUAUCCAUUAUAGCAUCAGGAGUAAUUAGUACCACACACUAGAAAGCCACCAUCCUAGGAAUGAAUCUCCUGGGUGCUGAGCUCUGAAGGAAAAGUUGACGGUCUUUAGGGCGGCGAGGUGGUGACUGUAUAACUACAUUACUUCAAUGUUCUGUCUUAUGUGCGGCUCAAGAAAUAUCUGUUUACUUUAAUUGAGUGGGCAUAAAUAGCAUUUACCAGAAAUCCUUUGCUGGCAGCCAGCUGCAUUGGGCUGUGGAGAACCGUAGAGUAUUCUCCCUGGAGUUGGAGGGAACACAACCUCUUUUUAGUGUUCAUCUUUGAUCAAAGGGGAGACUUACAUUGUAAGAUCAGUUAUGAUUUCAUUCUGAUUACCAUUAAGUGGUUUAAUAGAAAACAAAUUUUAUAUUCUCCUAAAGAAUCUAUGGGCAAAAAAGACAAAUAAAGUAAAAUACUGGGUUUUCAGAUAAUUUGUUUUUAGUGGUUUUCAUUUUCUUAAGAAAUUAAGAAUUGCUUUCUUUUUAUGUUUCCAUAAUAGCAAGGCUACUUUGUCAUCUGACUUUCUCUGAUAUAAAACUGGGUGAGCUAGAGGGAAUAUGUAGAAACCAACCCCAAACCACCUGGAUAUAGUUUACUCCGUCUCCAUCAAUCAUUUAUUGCAGACUUGAUAUCUUAAUGUUUCAGCUGUCAGAACACUGACUUUAAUCUAAGGAAGUCUAUGUUUUUGUUUACAUUAUCUCAAUUCCAAGUAUCUAUGGGAAAAAAAUUAUGGGAUGUCAGAAAUAUCGAAGAUUAUUAUGUCUGCUUAAUGAGAUGGAUACUCCCUAAAGAAACUAAAGUCAGUGAUACGGAAUGUGAGCAGCAGAAAAACAUUCUAAAGUUAAGGAAGGUGGGAGUGGGGGGAGGGUAGCAGUUUAGGAAGCAGUGAAGUUAGUCUGAGAUAUUUGCUUGGUGUUGGCCUCUGAUGGUCAUGAAGAAAAGGGACUGUCUUGUAAUCCUUUUCUCUAUAUUUUUUCUUUUUAUUUAAAAGUGGCUUUUAUUGCUUUUGUAUUGCAGUAUAGUUGAUUUACGAGGUUGUGCUAAUUUCUGCUGUACAGCAGUGACCUGCUCAUAUAUAUACAUUCCACUAUCUUCCAUCAUGGGCUGUCCCGAGAGAGUGGAUAUAGCUGCCUGUGCUGCACAGAAGGACCUCUUUGCAUAUCCAUUCUAAAUGUAAUAGUUUGCAUUUUUCAUCUUUCUGAAGAAAGUUCGAUUUUCCCUUGUUAGCCCUGAAACGUUUCUUUUUUCUCCAAAGUUUUACCUUUUCUCUUUAUAAAUGCUCACGGGUCAGAGUCAUGAGCAUCUGGUGCUUGUUCAGUAAAAGAUAGUCAUGUUGUCUUAGAAGAAAGGCCUCAGGUUACUACACAUACUUCCGGUCCCCAGCCUGGCGUCGCUAUGCAGAGGAGAUUUUAGAUCAUAGCAUGAUUACCUGUGAUACAUUUUCUUGUCUUUCCUUCUUUCUUAAUUUUGCGUUUCUUAAAAUUCCUAACCAAGUUUAUCAUAAGCAUUGCUUAAAAAUAUGACAUAAAUUACUUUUCAUUUCCAAAAACUAUCAGGACAUCAAAGGGAGGCAUUCCUGUCAUGGCUCAGGAGUAACGAACCCAGGAGGGAUGCAGGUUCAAUCCCUGGCCUUGCUCAAUUGGCUAAGGAUCCAGCAUUGCCUGGAGCUGUGGUGUAGGUUGCAGACUAGGCUCGGAUGCUGCCAUGCUGUGGCUGUGGCCUAGGCUGGCAGAUGUAGCUCUGUUUGGCCCCCUAGCCUGAGACUGUCCAUAUGCCAUGAGUGUGGCCCUAAAAAGCAAAAAAAAAAAAAAAAAGGAAGGAAGGAGAGAAAGAAAGAAAGAGAGUCAGAGGGACAACCUCUUGGCAUGGCGUUUCUCAUCAUACUUGUAUAGUUUGAAGAUAGAAUUCUGAAAGAGAACGGUAACCUCAGACUGAUAUUUCAAAGGAGGACACAGUUGUCUUUAAAACCUCAUGUAAUCAUUCAACCUGGCAAGACUAAGGUUCUAAUGCUAUCGGAGUCCACGGUCAUGGGCGAGAAGGUGGGGUCCUCACCCCGCCUUCACCUGAGUGGAAUAAUGGUCCAUGAGACGAGUUUGAAGGAUGCAGCCCAUUGAGAAAACGUUCCCCAGGGACUUUUUGCCCCUCUGGAGCUACUUACUGCUUCUCCCUAUUAAAUGAGUACUAAUAAAGUUUCUAAUCACUUGAUGUGCUCACCAAAUACCUGAAUUUUUCAGUAUGUCAUUUUCUUUGGGAGAAGCAGCAGCCAGAGACUGCCUGAUGCUUGGAGGGAGAGAUGGCCUUUAAGGAGGAAUGUAGGUACAGAAAGGGAGGCACAGGAGGACAGAUUUAAGUUGCUGUAACUUCCUCUAAGAACUGACUUGAUAGCAAGCAGAUAAUUCCAUUUUGUGAAGGUCUACAACUUGAAAGCAUUCUGAGAUAUUUGGAGGGGAUGCAUUCAUCUCAAAGUGGAACAGUAAAGAAGAUUGUAAAAGGAAGAUUUCUGAAAGGAGGCUAUGACCAUUUUGAGGAGUAAAGCUAAAAAUAUAGAUUCGUAAAGCAUUUAGCUAAAUUCAUGGAUAAACUGUACUUAUUUAGUUAGGGAGUGUCUGGGUAUGUAUCCCUAAUAUCCUGCAAUUGGUGUUUUGGGAGAGAAAACAGGUAUUGCUUAUCCCAAAGUGCCAUGGUAUCAGGAUUCUUUCAUAAAAUUGAUUAUGGCAUUCUUGGAUUUUUGCAGACUCUCUCUUUGUUAUGCUUUGCUUUUCAUAUAUAGUGGUUUUAAUUGUGCUUGGUAACAGGUCAAAGAGGAAAUAACUGGUAUGGCUCUAACAAAACAAGAGAUAACAGCCACGUUUUUAUUUAGAGGUGGCAUAGUGCCAAAGGCAUACACUCAGUCCUAUGCACUCACAUUCGCCCACUCGGUCCCUUUGUGCCUGCCCCCGUUUCCUUCCUGCCUUGGCCCUACUUCAUGAAUAAUCAUAGUAUGAAUGAUGAAAUACAGCUAUGAAAUGUUAUGUCAAUUAAAGAGACUUUAUAUGAUGCUAAUUAGAUGAGGAACUGAAGAUGCUUGUCUCCUUUUUCCUCUAAAUUAGUUUUAAUCAAUCUGAACAACAUCCCAAGGAAACAUUUUCAAGGAGAAUUGCAAAAUGGUCAUCAAGAGGAUGAUUUUCCCUGCUCACUAAAUAUGAAAAUCACUAUGCAACAAGUGCAUGAUGUCAAACCCUGGCGUUUAUUAAUAAUGAAAGUAUAGGUCAAAGAGCUCCGGAGCUGGGGGUGGGGAGAUACAUUUAAAACACAUGAUUAAACCUAAGGCACAUUCAGGACUUCACAGUGCUAAUUUACGUAAAAUGAUGUAUUAAAUCUCCACCUGGCAAAGUCAUUUUCAUGUACAAUUCAUUUUCUUGUGUGCCAUGAGAGUUAGGGUUUCUCAUACUAUGAAGAAAUAUAGGGCUCAUUCUGAAAUAUAUAAAAAAUAAAAUAUGCUAGAGAAAAAGGAGUCUGGAUGUCACUUGGCCCACACUUAACCGUGGGUAAGCAUGCGGUUUGGGGCGUCAAACAGACCUUGUGUUCAAUUCCUGUUUCUGGCACCUAACUUACCUUGGGCAAGUUCCUUGGCCUCGGUUUCUCACCAGUAAGAGAGUGUCAUAGAAUUUACCUCACAGGGCGUUUAAAGAAAUAAAUGAGAUGAGAUUUAACACCCCUUGAAUCCCUGGAACAGAUGUUUGAGCUAUCACAAGCACUUAGCUAGUUCUAAUACAUGCAUUCCGUAAAUCUUUGUAGCUUGUUUACCUUGUGGAAGGAUAGGACUUUGCUGGAUCCUUUCAAACAGCUUUAAAUGCUAUUUAUUAAAUAUGCUAUUAAAUGCUUAUUUUUUCCAAAAAGCAAAGCAAUUUAACUAUGUCAUAUAUUUUGUUCUGUUGCCCUAUGACUUGGACAUGGUGUGUAGACAUGUCGAUAAUGACAUCAUGGAAGUUUUGGAAGUGAAAGCAAUAUUUCCGUAAUGCUGAUAAAAGUAUAUUUAAGCGAACUGGGACCUAACUGUUUUAAUUGCCAGAAAAAUCCAAUUUAUCUUGAAGCAAAUUCUCUGUUCUUAAUUUUCACACACUAAUUUUCCUUCUAUCCCCUAGAGCCAGAGAAUCGAGAUAGCACUUCUACAUGACAGCAGAGAUUUUGCAUCAUAUCCACACCCUUAUAGCCUCAUGUUGUUGUUGUUGUUUAAAUCAUUGUCCCCAACAUAGUCUUUAGUCAUUUAGUUGGUUCUUAAAGGCAAAUACUUAAUUGUUCAAAAAUGGACUGAAGAGGAGUUCCUGUCAUGGCUCAGUGGUUAUCGAAUCUGACUAGGAACUAUGAGGUUUCGGGUUCGAUCCCUGGCCUUGCUCAGUGGGUUGAGGAUCCGGUGUUGCCGUGAGCUGUGGUGUAGAUUUGCAGACAUGGCUCAGAUCCCAGCGUUGCUGUGGCUGUGGCGUAGGCCGGCAGCUAUAGCUCCGAUUGGACCCCUAGCCUGGGAACCUCCAUGUGCCACGGGAGUGGCCCAAGAAAUGGCAAAAAG
rnacentral:lncRNA from 1 species